UACAGAGGGUGCAAGCGUUGUUCGGAAUUAUUGGGCGUAAAGCGCGUGUAGGCGGCUUUGCAAGUCGGGUGUGAAAGCCCUCAGCUCAACUGAGGAAGUGCGCCCCGAAACUGCAGAGCUUGAGUACUUAAGAGGAUCGCGGAAUUCCCGGUGUAGAGGUGAAAUUCGUAGAUAUCGGGAGGAACACCAGUGGCGAAGGCGGCGAUCUGGGAAGAUACUGACGCUGAGGUGCGAAAGCGUGGGGAGCAAACAGG
rnacentral:rRNA from 1 species